CCUACGGGGGGCAGCAGUGGGGAAUAUUGGACAAUGGGGGGAACCCUGAUCCAGCCAUGCCGCGUGUGUGAAGAAGGCCCUCGGGUUGUAAAGCACUUUCAGUGAGGAAGAACGCCUGGUGGUUAAUACCCAUCAGGAAAGACAUCACUCACAGAAGAAGCACCGGCUAACCCCGUGCCAGCAGCCGCGGUAAUACGGAGGGUGCGAGCGUUAAUCGGAAUUACUGGGCGUAAAGCGCGCGUAGGUGGCUUGAUAAGCCGGUUGUGAAAGCCCCGGGCUCAACCUGGGAACGGCAUCCGGAACUGUCAAGCUAGAGUGCAGGAGAGGAAGGUAGAAUUCCCGGUGUAGCGGUGAAAUGCGUAGAGAUCGGGAGGAAUACCAGUGGCGAAGGCGGCCUUCUGGACUGACACUGACACUGAGGUGCGAAAGCGUGGGUAGCAAACAGGAUUAGAUACCCGUGUAGUC
rnacentral:rRNA from 1 species